AGAGCUGCGGUCCCUGUGCGCGGGAUCGCGUCGGGGGCGGGGCGGCGACAGGCCUUCAACGUCAAACUGCUGACGGGCGCCGUUACGACCCGCGCUCCCGUGCGCUCCUCAAAUUCUGAGACGCGUGGCUGGAGAGCGGGCGGCCCUGGCCCCGGAGAGCCGUGUUCCCGCGGGAUCUCGUCGCGGGCGUGAGGCGGGGCCGGCCUGGGCCGGUCAUCCCUGGCUGGCGCGACCCGCAGCCUGUCCGGGAAGCCGUUGCGACAUGCGGGCUGGGAACCGCCUCACCUCCAGGGGGGACCGCGGCGGCCCGCUAGACUCUGGUCGGGUCUGGAGUAUUGGGCCCUCUGGCCGGACUCGGUGCUCCUCAGGCCCCAGCGCCCGGCACUGAGCCUCGCAUCCACAUUCGCAGAGUAAACCCAACAAGUGUUGAAUGAAUGAGGUUCCCCGGGCCCCGGCUGUCACUGGGCUCUGCGCCAGGCCAAGAGCCGAAGGCGGGGGAGGAAGAUGUCGAAAUGGGCGGGAUGAUUCACAGAUGACGGCCGGUGGCGAGGCGGGGCUGGAGGCCGCAUCCCAAAGGCAGCAGGGAAGUGCGGCGGCUGUGGGGAAGCUCGGACGCACGGCCUGGCCGAGUCUGAAGCAUCAGUAUUUUGUCCCUGAGCCGGCGCGCUGAUGGGUCCCCCGCCUGGCGAUGAGGGCUUCUCCCUCCCUCGGGU
rnacentral:lncRNA from 1 species